AUUAAGGAGCAGGCUCCAGGAAUAUAAGUCAACAACAGAACUCUAAACAUAUCCAAAUUGAGAUUGGCUCUUUUCUAUUACUAGAAAGGUGUUUUUAGCAGAGGGUUCUCAAUAUCAUGCUAAGUAACAGAAAUUUCAUAUGAAAAAGGAAAUUCUCUUGAAUCUCACCUCCUUAAAAUAUAUUGUUUAACAAAAAGGUAUAACGGAUAGAUCUCAGGAGGCAGAAGUCUGAAUACUUAGCCUAUUUGUACUUCAGUAUAAAGACUGCUAUUUUUCUGGGAUUUUUUACCAAGUUUUUUAAAUUCCACUCUUGUCCCCAUGUAAAAUGACUAUGAAAAUGGUGUAGCUAAAGAAAAAAAUGGGUGAAAUUUAAAGGAACUAACUAAGGAAUAAAAGUGUAGGUUAGGAAGAGGGAUAUAUGUAAACAAAUGCUGGCAUAUAGAAGAGCAAAGAAAAAUAUGUGAAGACACACCUGAGGGCAAAAGGCUGAAGGCAACCAAAAUUGGCUGGACAUAACACUGACAGAAAUAGAAGCCCAGGAAAGACAGAGAGUAAAGGAGAAAUUUGAAUAACAUUAAUAGGUAGGAAAAUGCACGUUGUAUGGGCUGAAGUAAUCCUAAUGCUAUAAUGAGCCAUGAAAUAGAAAGACAAUAUUUCCUUUAUCCAUAGUUUUAUGAAAAUUACAGAUGGACUACAAUAUGAAAAACAAAUAGACUUAAAUUCCAUAAUAGGUAUAGAAAGUGACCAAUAGUGACAUUUGUAUUAUUUAAGCUCACAAAAGGGUCCUUAAUAACUUUAGAUUAUACCAUUUAAAAAUUUUUCAACUUUAGAAAAUAUCUUAAAUUCCACUUUUCUACCUAUUUGCUUUAGUUUUUAAAAUUAUGAAAGUGCCAAGCAAAUAAUCUAUAGGAGGUGAAUAACAUCACUUAUUUGAAUAAUAGUAAUUAAAAAAGAACCAGUUGAUAGUGCAUUCAUUCUAAUGCCACCUGCACCGAAUCAACAAUUGUAACAUCUAAACCCAGGUGUUGGUAUCAUCUCUGACCACGGAAUUGGAGCCCUUCAUCUCUGACCAUGGAAUUGGAGCCCUUUCUAUAAGGAGUACAUUCUUAGAUAGGACAACAGGAUGUGAAAUGAUAUGAAGAUGUCUGUGCCAGCACUUAGAAGGAAAGUGGGAAAAAUCUUAGUUCUCCUAAAAGCUCUUUCUAAAUGUAGAUUCAUUGGUGAAAACCUGUAACCUACUAGUCAUAGAAGCAUUUAGGAAUUGAAGACAUACAGUGCAAUGCCUACCCUCACAAUAACUAUUUGACUACUAUACAACUAUUCGAGUUUAGCUACCAUGUUUUUUUAGUCAUGCUUUUUUUUUUUUUCCUUUUCCUUUGACCUCUUUAUAAUUGUGAGAUAAUCAUGUAGAGAAAUAUCUUGGCUAGAUCUAGGCUGAGUGUGGGCAGGUGCCAUGUAAGCAUUCCACACAACUCCACAAAUACACCCCAAACUCUCCACAUCUCAAUCCUUUGAUGGCCUCCAGCUGACACUACCUCUAACGUUUUCACUUAUGUUUCCCACACAAUUUCAGGUCUCAGCAUUUCCUGAGAAUACGUAGUUAUGGUCAAACUCCCUCUUCUGAUAAAUCCUGAAAAAAAAGGUGGGGGUGAGGGUAGGAAAUGGAUAAUUUUGCUGCCAACACAAGCAGAACUAAUAUGUCCUGUUUCUAAAAUAUUCUAAUAUCUGGCAGCAUUAACCCAGAAGAUUAUGUUUUUAAUAUCAGUGUACAUAAGCCCUUCAGCAGAUAAACUCAGAGGAUGAAGAGGAGGAAGAGAAGGAGAAUGAUGGUGUUGAUGAUGAUGGCUAACGUUUUCAGUACUUGUGCCAAGCAUUGCUCUAGGUGCUAGUUAUAUAUUAUCUCACUUAAUCCUCACGCAUUCAAAAAAAACGUCCUUGUUAGGGAAAAUUAUUUUUAUCUUCAUUUUACACAGGAUACUGGGACACAGAAAGAAGCUGUUUAAAGCAGUUUAAACAUAACUAGCUCAUUUAAAGUUAAAACAUAAAACUUCAAACCAACUGACCAAUAUUUUGAUGUAGUACCAAGGGCUGCCAUUGAAUCUUGAUCUGCUAAGUUACAUUCUUCUUGGUUAAACUGUACCACAAUGUAUCAUCUAUUUAAAGUCAAUGAGAAUUUACAGGUUUUGGUUUAUUAAGUCAGUGAAUGCUUACAGAGACUUGCAAAAGCAAGUUGAAUUCAGGAUCCUUCCUAAUAUUUACAUUCAUCUCCUACCCCCACCCCAGGUGAACUUUCACUGUUGUCUAGCCAACACUUAGUUAGACUCUAAUUUGUUUUAGUGAUUCACCCGUAAAAAGUCUUUCCACAGCAGUCAAUUGAAAUUUCAUAAAAUCGACAACCAUUCAUAGUGUAUACUCAUAUUUCACAAGUUUGCAUAAUUAAGUUACAAUUGCACAUUCAACUGGCAUAAACAAAUUUUAAAACAAACAACAAUGACUCCAGGUAAGCAUAACAGUAGGUAAAUAGAUAAACAGAAAUACACCAUAUUUCAGUUUCCUAUUGGCCCAAAGCAGGGAUUGGCUAAGAGAACUUCCACUAUAUUCAUAUCUUCCCUAAUCAUGAAAAAUACUGCUUAAUAAGUAUAUUAUGUUCCUGGAAGAAUGGAUUUACAAUUGAAAAAUACAAUCAAAUUUGAUAGAGGGGUUUACAAUAACAACAAAAUUCUAUACUAGAAAUGUAAUAUAUUCUUUCUUAUGUUCCUUAAAUAGAAAUCCUAGGAGACUCCUUCUCUGAUAAAAACCAGUCAUAAAAUCCUGUCCCAAACUUAAUUAAGUAUAAGAAAGAACUAUACUCAAUACCUUGUAAUGACCUGUAAUGGAAAAGAAUCUGAAAAAAGAACAUACACACACAUAUAUAACUAAAUCACUUUUCUGUACACCUGAACGCAAUACAAAAUUGUAAUUCAAUUACACUUCAAUUAAAAAAUUUUAAAAUGCACCUAAAAAACAAGAAAGAAAAGUUCUGUUGUGGUGUAGUGGGUUAAGGGUCUGGUGUAGUCCCUGCAGCCACUUGGGUCCCUGCUGUGGCACUAGUAUGAUCCCUGGCCUAAGAAAGUCCACAUGCCAUGGGCAUAGUCAAAAAAAAAAAAAAAGGAAGAGGAAGACCAGCAGAGGUUUAGCAGAGGAAACCAUCACAUUAUGUGGGAAAAACUAUAAUUUUAAACUUCAGGUUACUACUUGAUUGAUGUGAGGUAAGUCACUUCACUUCCUUGAGCUGUGGUGUCCUUAGGUCACUUUGUCGUACAACAGAACAUGAAAAAACACCGUAAAUCAACUUAUACUUUAAUAAUAAUAAUAAAAUUAAAAUAAAAACAAAAAGGAGACAAUACUUAUUCUCUCCCUUUCACAGAACUAUAGUCAGAAUUAAGUAAAAUAAAAUAUAUGAAAACACUCUGCAAACCAUUUGUCAUCAUACACAUAUAAGCUAUUGCUCCUGGACAUCCUAGCUUGUAUAGAGCUUUAGUCAGGGAGGUCAUAUCUCAAAUGAUGAGGCUGAGAACCAAAAGCCUAAAUUACUUCCCUACUUAUAGUGGUAUGGAUAACAGAGCAGAAAUAGAGAAUCCUUGAAUAACCUGGAAAAGAAUAUCAUAGUCAUAGAAGUGGGAUCAACUAGGGAUUCAAGAAAGUCAAAGUGCUCAGAAGGAGCUAAUACUGCAGUGUAGACUGUGAAGAGAGAGAAAACUUUAAAAGCUGGGCAAUUUCAUACAAUAAGUUCUGGUAGUUACUUUGUUAAAAAUAUUAGAGGAGAGCUAGAAAGACCAACUCCCCCAAAAGUUCAACCAUACCAGACACAGACUAUUAUUUCAUCUUAUAUAACAAAAUGCCGAUGCCUUUUCAAACUAAAUAAAAUUGUGAAUUUGAGAUAAUUCUCUUAUUUGUGCUAUUCCCUUCUACUGGUCAGAGUAAUUAACCAUAGGUUAGGAAGUUAAGAAAACAAUAGGAUGGACUUCAGUAAAGUUCAAGUACUUUAAUUGGAUUGCUGUGGUACAGUUUGUUUCCCUUUUUCUCUAGCCAUUAAUCCAGCAGGGGAAAGUGAUCUAACACAGCACCAUGGCACGAAGGGAGGGACCCUGAGAGCCUGUCUCUAUGAUGACUGUUCUUGUGCAUCCAGGCCGCCUAUUGAAACUAACAAUGCCUGCUGCUGCUGCCGAAGAGGAUCAUCCAAACUCUGAAAAUGAAACACAGCACACAAAGGGAUGAAAGAAUUCUUAUUCCACGGGGUUUAGCUUGCAGCUGGUCAUGCAUGCCAGAGGGAUGUGCCAUGAGGAUGAGAAAGAAGCUUCCAAAGAGAAUGGCUGGGGCAUUUUGAAAUACUUGGGGAGUUAUUCUUUUGAAACUAAGGCAAAUAACUAGACUUCUUUACAGCGUAACUUGAGAAGAACCUUUCUUUUUUUCUUUUUAUCACUGCAAUUCACCCAGGUGAGAAUAUUCUUGCCAUUAAAAGAAAUUUAGACAUUUUUUUUGGGGGGGGAUGCCUGUGGCAUACAGAAAUUCCUGGGCCAGGGAUCAAACCCCAGCCACAGCAGUAAGAAUCCUUAACCACUAGACCCCAAGAGAACUCCCAAAACUUAGAUAAUUUCUAAUUGAUUAUACUUGUGUGUAGUUAGUUCCUCAUUUAUAAUAAGAGAUGAUAUUAUAUAAUUGAUUUUUUUCUCUGUUCUAGAGCUUAAAGUCACUUUGGAGUUUAAAACUGUAUGCAGUAAUACAUGUUGGGUUUUUCUAAAAUUGAUGCAAGUACACUGAAUAAUAUGCUAGUUAAAAAAAUAACUCACUGUUUAGGACCACAGACUUUGAGGUUAGAUCAGUGGUGAAACUGAUGUGAUCUUUAUUACAUGGCAUCAGGCUCCAUGGCUCUAACAACCUGGAAUAACUGCGCUGAGUAAUCCUGCCCACAAAAGGUGUUCCACAUAGAGUUAAAAUUAUAGGAACCUUCCCUGCAGUCACCAUUGCUCCUGGCCUCUCCACUGGUCUCGGCAAAGCAUAAUACAGUUUUUCAGCUGCCCUGGACAUUACUGUGUAAAGUAGUUUCAAAAACAGCACCUAGAGCUUUGAAGAGAUUUGCCACAGUAAGACAUUAGUCUUCCUUGAUAAACUCACUCCUACCAGUCAGAAGCAGAAUUGCCUGCCUUCCUUAGCCUUUUCCUCUAAGUUUACUUACUUAAGUUCACCCUCCUCUGUUUACUGGAUAAAAGAGAGACUCCUUUCAUUGCACACACUAGACUUAGCGAUCUAUUUUUGCCUAUUAAACUACUGAUUCCAAAUAACUCUUCCAUAACUAGAUGUGCAGCUUUAUAGAAGUUAUUUAUAAUCUAAUUUAGCCUUAGAUUCUUCAUUGAUAAAAUGUAAAUAAUAUCUGCCUUGUGAGACUGUUGUGAAGAAUACUAUUUAACUCAUAGUUCAGGAUCAGCACAAAGGAUGAAUCAAUAAAUGGUAGUCAUUGUUUUGUGACCUUCUCUAUCACAGGAGUAACAAAUACUUUACAUAAGAAACUAAAAUGAGAAAUGGAAUGUAAUAUCAAAAAUAUUCCCCUACCUUGUCAGUAUUCUAUUGUUGAUUCAAGCAUUGUGUCAUUCUUCUCAGGUUAGAUCACACUUUACAAGAAGCAUUACUUCCUUGGAGGAUUGAGUAAAUAGAAAUUAUUGGGAGAAAAAUUUCCUUUCCACAUAUUCAAUCCAUUAGUUCUAACUGAUGUCCCUCAGACCACUGUAAACAAGUUCUUGUUACAAGAGGUUUAACUUUUCAAAUAGCUACUUAUAUUUUAUACAUAAAUGUUUGGCAUUGGAGGGUUUCCAUAACUUUUCUGUUUCUUGUUCUCUCACUUCUACUACAGCUUCCCCUCUCUCAGUGGCUCUUUUAACUUCUCUCAAAAAGAGAAG
rnacentral:lncRNA from 1 species